UUGCCCGGCAAGGUGGGGGGACGAGCAGGGGGCUCCCAAGGGGGGUGAAGUCGUAACAAGGUAGCCGUAGGGGAACCUGCGGCUGGAUCACCUCCUU
rnacentral:rRNA from 1 species